CCUAUCCUCCCAUCAAGUUACAUUCUCUGCUGUACAUUGUGACUCCUGGUUCCCAUCACCACCACUGCUGUAUGAGUUGAAAGGAUCCCUGUUCUGAAAUGAGCUGAAUCAAAAUCAGGGAUGGAGACGGAGUCUGAGCUGCAAAAUGCUGCCGUCCCCCCAGAACUCAAGCUGCUGCUGGAGGCUUUAAGCUGGGCCAUGCUGAAGAACCAGCCGCAGAACAUCUCCCACUUUGCCUCAGAAUACUCCAGUGAGCUCCUACA